AUUGAACGCUGGCGGCAGGCCUAACACAUGCAAGUCGAGCGAGCGGCGGACGUGUGAGUAAUGUAUGGGGAUCUGCCUGAUGGCGGGGGAUAACUACUGGAAACGGUAUCUAAUCCCGAAUACCAUCAGAUGAACCCAUAGGGUAUUCGCUAGUAGGUAAGGUAACGGCUUACCUAGGCGACGACCCCUAGCUGGUCUGAGAGGAUGAUCAGCAACACUGUGACUGAGACACGGCCCAGACUCCUACGGGAGGCAGCAGUGGGGAAUAUUGCACAAUGGGCGAAAGCCUGAUGCAGCGAUGCCGCGUGGAUGAAGAAGGCCUUCGGGUUGUAAAGUACUGUCAGUAGGGAGGCGUUACCGACAGAAGAAGCACCGGCUAACUCCGUGCCAGCCGCCGCGGUAAUUC
rnacentral:rRNA from 1 species